rnacentral:rRNA from 1 species
CCUACGGGAGACAGCAGUGAGGAAUAUUGGUCAAUGGACGAGAGUCUGAACCAGCCAAGUAGCGUGAAGGAUGACUGCCCUAUGGGUUGUAAACUUCUUUUAUAUGGGAAUAAAAUGUUCCACGUGUGGGAUUUUGUAUGUACCAUAUGAAUAAGGAUCGGCUAACUCCGUGCCAGCAGCCGCGGUAAUACGGAGGAUCCGAGCGUUAUCCGGAUUUAUUGGGUUUAAAGGGAGCGUAGGUGGAUUGUUAAGUCAGUUGUGAAAGUUUGCGGCUCAACCGUAAAAUUGCAGUUGAAACUGGCAGUCUUGAGUACAGUAGAGGUGGGCGGAAUGCGUGGUGUAGCGGUGAAAUGCUUAGAUAUCACGAAGAACUCCGAUUGCGAAGGCAGUUCACUGGACUGCAACUGACACUGAGGCUCGAAAGUGUGGGUAUCAAACAGGAUUAGAUACCCCUGUAGUC